UACGAGGAGGCUAGCGUUGUUCGGAAUCACUGGGCGUAAAGCGCACGUAGGCGGAUUCGUAAGUCAGGGGGUGAAAUCCCCGGGGCUCAACCCCCGGAACUGCCCCUUGAAACUGCAGUGCUAGAAUUCUGGAGAGGCGAGUGGAAUUCCGAGUGUAGAGGUGAAAAUUCGUAGAUAUUCGGAAGAACACCAGUGGCGAAGGCGACUUCCUGGCCUGUUCUUGACGCUGAGGCGCGAAAGCUAGGGUAGCAAACGGG
rnacentral:rRNA from 1 species